AGCCUGAAUCAGUGUGUGUGUUAGUGGAAGCGUCUGGAAAGGCGCGCGAUACAGGGUGACAGCCCCGUACACAAAAAUGCACAUGCUGUGAGCUCGAUGAGUAGGGCGGGACACGUGGUAUCCUGUCUGAAUAUGGGGGGACCAUCCUCCAAGGCUAAAUACUCCUGACUGACCGAUAGUGAACCAGUACCGUGAGGGAAAGGCGAAAAGAACCCCGGCGAGGGGAGUGAAAAAGAACCUGAAACCGUGUACGUACAAGCAGUGGGAGCACGCUUAGGCGUGUGACUGCGUACCUUUUGUAUAAUGGGUCAGCGACUUAUAUUCUGUAGCAAGGUUAACCGAAUAGGGGAGCCGAAGGGAAACCGAGUCUUAACUGGGCGUUAAGUUGCAGGGUAUAGACCCGAAACCCGGUGAUCUAGCCAUGGGCAGGUUGAAGGUUGGGUAACACUAACUGGAGGACCGAACCGACUAAUGUUGAAAAAUUAGCGGAUGACUUGUGGCUGGGGGUGAAAGGCCAAUCAAACCGGGAGAUAGCUGGUUCUCCCCGAAAGCUAUUUAGGUAGCGCCUCGUGAAUUCAUCUCCGGGGGUAGAGCACUGUUUCGGCAAGGGGGUCAUCCCGA
rnacentral:rRNA from 1 species